rnacentral:rRNA from 1 species
AGCAGCCGCGGUAAUUCCAGCUCCAAUAGCGUAUAUUAAAGUUGUUGCAGUUAAAAAGCUCGUAGUUGAAUUUCGGAAUCUGUCCGUCGGUCGGGCUUCACUGUCCGUACUGGUGUGAUGGGUUUCUACCUUCUGAAUAACCGGCAUGUCAUUAAUUUGGUGCGCCGGGGAAGCAGAACUAUUACCUUGAAAAAAUUAGAGUGCUUAAAGCAGGCUAUCGCCUGAAUAGAUUAGCAUGGAAUAAUAAAAUAGGACGGCAUGGUUCUAUUUUGUUGGUUUCUAGGAUCACCGUAAUGAUUAAUAGGGAUAGUUGGGGGCAUUAGUAUUCAAUUGUCAGAGGUGAAAUUCUUGGAUUUAUUGAAGACUAACUUCUGCGAAAGCAUUUGCCAAGGAUGUUUUCAUUAAUCAAGAACGAAAGUUAGGGGAUCGAAGACGAUCAGAUACCGUCGUAGUCUUAACCAUAAACUAUGCCGACUAGGGAUCGGACGAUGUUAAUUUUUUAAUGACUCG